rnacentral:rRNA from 1 species
AAUGAACGUUGGCGACGUGGAUUAGGCAUGCAAGUCGUUCGCCCCGCGAGGGGCGAGGCGCAAGGGUGAGUAAGGCGACGACAACCAACCCCGAGGGUGGGCAUAGCCGCGGGAAACUGCGGGUAAUUCCCAGCGAAGUCGGAGGGUGGCAUCAUCCACCGACCAAAGGUGCGAUAUCCGCCUCGGGCCGGGUCGUCGUGGUAUCAGCUAGUUGGUGGGGUAACGGCCCACCAAGGCGAAGACGCCUACCGGGCGUGCGGGCGUGGCCCGGCACACUGGGACUGAGACACUGCCCAGACACCUACGGGUGGCUGCAGUCGAGAAUCUUCGGCAAUGGGCGCAAGCCCGACCGAGCGACGUCGCGUGGAGGACGAAGGCCUUCGGGUUGUAAACUCCUGUCGAGGGGGAACAAGGGCCGGUGGAGAGCCGGACUUGAGUGAUCCCUGGAGGAAGCACGGGCUAAGUUCGUGCCAGCAGCCGCCGUAAGAC